UAUUUAAUUUGAGUUUAAAGAAUUUUUUUUUUGACUCAGAAUCAAUGUGAAAAUUCAUUGAUUUAGAUGAAUUUUCUUUUGAAUCAAAGUAUUUUUUCGUCAAACAGUCGACAUCUUCAGUAGCUUCUUUUUGGUGAACGGGACGGCAAGAAGGUUUGCCGCGCAACAGCCAGACAGCACCGGAAACACAAGAUCCGGCGUAGGAAAGUCUUGGCAGCUUUAAGAGGGCAGACGAUAGUGACUCCUAGGGCAACCAUUCAUCCAACUAAUUCCUUCCGAUCCGGUCCAAGGAGAAAUCUGGCGCCGAAACCCUUCAUGAGUUGUUCGAAAGGAACUGUCGCCAACAAACAUCGUUCAAUGUACCGGUUCAAAACUUAAAUCAUAGGGAAAAUCGAUAAUGUGAAUGUGAUAAUGUAAUCUAA